GAUGAACGCUGGCGGCGUGCCUAAUACAUGCAAGUCGAGCGAACAGAUGAGGAGCUUGCUCCUCUGACGUUAGCGGCGGACGGGUGAGUAACACGUGGAUAACCUACCUAUAAGACUGGGUUAACUUCGGGAAACCGGAGCUAAUACCGGAUAAUAUAUUGAACCGCAUGGUUCAAUAGUGAAAGACGGUUUUGCUGUCACUUAUAGAUGGAUCCGCGCCGCAUUAGCUAGUUGGUAAGGUAACGGCUUACCAAGGCAACGAUGCGUAGCCGACCUGAGAGGGUGAUCGGCCACACUGGAACUGAGACACGGUCCAGACUCCUACGGGAGGCAGCAGUAGGGAAUAUUCCGCAAUGGGCGAAAGCCUGACGGAGCAACGCCGCGUGAGUGAUGAAGGGCUUCGGAUCGUAAAACUCUGUUAUUAGGGAAGAACAAAUGUGUAAGUAACUAUGCACGUCUUGACGGUACCUAAUCAGAAAGCCACGGCUAACUACGUG
rnacentral:rRNA from 1 species